CUCUGGACUGGGCCACACCACUACUCAAGGAGGUUCCAUCUUGACCCCAUUUUGCAGGGGCAUCCGAUGGUCGGAAAUUUUAAAACGUUCCCUGGUUGAAGAGGGUGAAGGGAUUCUAUAAGUUCAAAGUGUUCUGUUAAGAACACUCUGUCAAGAACCCCCAGGCCCCUGGGAAGAUUCUUCAAAAUUCAGAUACGAAUCUCGGUACAAAAACCAGAUUUUGAUCGUAGCCCCCCUCAGCUGUCGCCUUUCCCACCAGAAGAGCAAGGUGCGAGAUCAUCUGUCCUCCCCCCAAGGAAGUGCCACCUCCUUUUCCGAGAGGGGAGAAAAUGGCUUUUCUCAGGGGAGAGCUGCACUAGAACAGCCCUCGAAGACACAAAUACUCUGCCCCCCAAAAUUGUUAGCGACGGGAAGGCAUUAUUUGCAAUGUGGGAACCAAAGCAGCUCUCUCUCUCUGGAUGCAUUCACAAGUUCUUAUGAUGGGAAAAGGUGGCGAUGUCUUUUAUUCCAGCAAAUGCUCUCUGGUUUCUGCCUCAUGCCAGACGUCACUGCAUUCUCAUCCUGGACUACAGAACCAGCAAUAGUCAGCUGGCUUCUUUCAGAUGAGGCUACACCUUCACGGCAGGACGAGAGAAACCAAGUUUGUAACCCACAUAGAGGCUUCUGUUAGUCCCUAUUAAUAUUUGAACUGAAUUACGUGUGCUGGGCAAACGGCAGGAGGGAUGGCUAUGAACGUGAGCUAGGGAAUCAGACAGCCCUGGGUUCAGGGUCCUGCUGUUUCAAGAGUUAGCUGUGUGAUGCUAGGCAAGAUAUCAGUGUUUCUGAGCAACUGUUCCCUCACCUGGAAAGUGAGGAUUAUUCAUUCAACUUGUUUUGAGCCCCUACUGGAUGCCAAUUAAGUGAUUUCUAUGAAGUCCGUUACUACUGAGAACCGUUGUCAUUUUUCAUUUGUUCUUCCCAACAUCUUUGCCAGGGAUCCUGAGGUAAGGUUGUAAAAAUGGCUAUAAAUUAUCUCCUUCCUCUAGCCAUGCCCUGUGGAGUGGCUCUCCACUCUUGAGUCAGGCCUUGACCACGGGACUGGCUUUGGCCAAUGGGACAUGAGCAAACAUGACACAUGAAAAGACCUGUGGACUGUGUGUGUGGAGCGUGCCCUUUCUUGCCAUGCUUGGAUCCCAGCCACCAUGUGAAAAGCCCAGGUAGAUGGAGUUAGCCUGCUGGAUGAUGAUGGUCCCAUGACCCAGACACAUCCCGUCACCCCAGCCAGCAGCCACCAAUGAGUGAGGCCAUAUGAGUGAGGACAUCCUAGACCAUCGAGCCAUGAUCAACCUUCCCACUGACCACAGAUCCAAGAGCAAACCCACAGCCAAGUUAGCCCCCCAGUCGUGAGCUAAAUAAUAUAUGUUGCUUUGAGCCGCUAACACUUUGGAGUGGUUUGUUACACAGCAGUAGGUAGCUGAUACACAGCCCUUAUCCUCCCACUUUAUAGACAAGGAAGUGGAAGUUCAUCAAAGCUUGCCCAAGGCCAUGGGGCCAAGGCUCAGUCUCUUUCUCCUACACCAUGCAGUGGGGCCCCCCCCUUCUGCCAUCUCCAGUCCCUAAAGCAGGGCCAGUUACUGAUCAGACAGCUGAUGAGGUGAGGGCUGUAUUCACUGCCUCUGCUCCGUGGCCUGCUGGGAGACCCUAGGCUUGGCUUC
rnacentral:lncRNA from 1 species